GAGGUUAGGAGCUCGAGACCAGCCUGGGCAACAUGGCAAAACCCCGUCUCUACUAAAAUACAAAAAUUAGCUGGAUAUGUUGGCAUGCGCCUGUAAUCUCAGCUACUCGAGAGGCUGAGACAGGAGAAUCGCUUGAACCCAGGAGGCAGAGGUUGCAGUGAACCGAGAUUGCACCACUUCACUCCAGCCUGGGCGACAGAGCAAGACUGUGUCUCAAAAAAUAAAUAAAUAGGUCGGGCAUGGUGGCUUAUGCCUGUAAUCCCAGCACUUUGGGAGGUCGAGGCGGGUGGAUCACCUGAGGUCAGGAGUUCGUGACUAGCCUGGCCAACAUGGUGAAACCCCGUCUUUACUAAAAAUACAAAAAUCAGCUGGGCAUGGUGGCACGUACCUGUAAUCCCAGCUACUAGGGAGGCUGAGGCAGGAGAAUUGCUUCAGCCUGGGAGGCGGAGGUUGCAGUGGGCCGAGAUCGUGCCAUUGUACUCCAGCCUGGGCAACAAGAGCAAAACUCGGUCUCAAAAAAUAAAUAAAUAAAUAAAUAAAUAAAAUUGGGAUAUUAACACUGAUACCAUAAUAUUAUCUAACUGUGUAGACCUUAUUCACAUUCUGUCAGUUAUCCCCAAAAUAUCUUUAUAGUAAGAAAUUUCCAGACCAUAUGUUACAUUUAGUUAACCUGGAACAGCUUCUCAGUCUUUCUGUGUUUUGUGACCUUGACAUUUUCGGAGAGUACCAGGCAAUAUUACAUAGUGUCUUUCAACAAUGGUUUGUUGUUUCCUCAUGCUGGUAUUGACGUUUUGUGCUUUCCAUAGAAAUGCUACAUGAGGGACACUGUGUUCUUCUCAGUGCAUCAUAUUCAGAGGCACCUGAUGUCUAUUUGUCUCACCACUAGUGAUAUUAACUUGGAUCCCUUGGUUAAGGUCAGGUUUCUGUCAGAUUUUCCGCUUUCUCCAGUUUUUCUCAGGAAAGUUACUCUCUCCCUUAUUUCCAACAAUAAUUGUCUUGCGGAAUGAUAUUUUUAGAUUUCGUUGAUGUCCUGUUACUCCUCACACAUUUAACCCUAGGCUUUUAAAAUCUAUUGAUGCUUGUGUGAAUCAUUUAUUCUUUCCUAAUGGUGAUUUUUAAAAGUCCGUCAUUUCUUCUUCGUUUAUUUAUAGUUGACUUUCUUCCCCAAAAAAGAGCUCUCUCUUUGCUCUCAUUUAUUUCAGUGCAUAUUCAUGGAUUCUUAUAUUAGUCUUAAUGUGUUAUCGUUAUGUAUUUUGAUGCUUAAAUUAUCCCAGAUUUGGCCAGUAGGAGUUUCUUCAAGCUGCCUCCUGUGUCUUUUGACACAUCUCCAUUGUUCUUUGAACAUAUUCUUUCUUGUGCAUGUAGAAUGUUUCUCAUUGCGUACCUUCUCUGCCUCAGCCCUAGAAUCAGCCGGUUCUCCAAGAAACUCUGUAUGACAGUGUCUGUUUCUCCAUAGGCUAGCCAAGAGUGACUUUUUUUUUUUUAAUUUUUGCCAAUUCAAUAGUUGAGAAAUAGCAUCUCAAUGUAAUUUAAAUUUGUAUUUCUUCCACUAUGAGUGGAAUUGAACAUCUUUUAAUAUGUCUAAGGGAUAUAUAUGUGUGUGUGUGUCUGUGUAUAUGAGUAAAUGUGAAUAUAUAUGUGUGUGUAUGUAUUUUCCCAUGUCCUUUACCCAUUUUUCUGUUGUUUCUGUCUUUAAGAGUUCUUUAUGUAUUAUGGUUAUUACUCCUUUAUCUGUGAUAUGAUGCAAAUAUUUUCUCCCAUUUUAUCUAUUGCCUUAUGUUUACAAUGGAGGAUUUUUGGCCAUAUAGAAAUUUUAAAAAAAAAUUAUGUAGUCAAAUUGAUCAAUCUUUCAGUCUUCCCAAUUUUGAGUUGUAGUUAGCAAAGCUUUUCCUACAUCAAGGUUAGAGAAUUCACGUUUUUUUCCCCCUUCUAGUGGUAGCAUGGCUUCAUUGCUUUAUUUAGAUCCCUGAUUCGUUUGGAGUUUAUUUUGGUUUACGGUAUGAGGUUUUCCAGUGGCUAGCCAAUUAUUUUAACAUUAUAUUAAUCCAUUUUCAUGCUGCUAUGAAGACAUCCCCUUGACUGGGUAAUUUAUAAAGAAAAGAUGUUUAAUCGACUCACAGUUCAGCAUGGCUGGGGAGGCCUCAGGAAACUUACAGUCAUGGCAGAAGAGGAAGCAAACAUGUCCUUUUUCCCAUGACAGCAUCAUGGAGAUGUGCCAAACAAAUGGGAGAACAGCCCCUUAUAAAACCAUCAGAUCUCAUGAGAACUCACUAUCACAAGAACAGUAUGAGGAUAACCACCCCCAUGAUUAAAUUACCUCCUACUGGGUCCUUUUCAUGACACAUGGGGAUUAUGGGAACUACAAUUCAAGAUGAGAUUUGGGUGGGGACACAGCCAAACCAUAUCAAACAUCAUUUAUUAAGUAGUUUUUGCCGUGGUGAUUUUUAGAUGCCACCUUAAUCAUAUACAGUACUAAAACUUCAUCUGCAUUUGGGUCUGUUUUUGAACUUUAUUACUCUGUUGGUUUGUCUGUCUAUUCUUGUGUCAGUAAGACACUUUUCAUCAUGGAGGCUUUAGACUGUGAUUUAAUGUCCGGAAGAACUUGUCCUUCCCUCUAGUGUGUUAGUGUUUUCCUGGCUGUUGCUGCACAUUUAUUUUUCAAUAUGAGGCUCAGUAUCAAUUGUAUGUCUCCAUUAAAAAAACUUGGUUUAUUUAUGAGGAUUACAUUAAAUUUCUAAAUUAAUUUAUGAUGAACUGACGUUUUUAUGUUAACUUGUUCUGAAUAUGAGAUGUCUGUUGUUAAACUCUUCAUUUGUGUCUUUUUAAGAAUGCUUUAAAGUUUUCCUCAGAUGUGAUUUAUACAUUUCUUUUAAAAUUUAUUCUUAAGUACUCAAUUUUCUUUGUGCAACUUGCUUUGUUUCCACUUAAAGUAUCACAUAUAGCUGAACAGGUCAGUAUGUGUUGAUCUAUUUCAUUUUAAAAAAUGGAUCCAUGGUAAGUUAUGUCUGUGUAUCUAUUAGUUUGGGGGAAUGUGAGGGUAGCAUAAGUCAUAAUUUCUAUCUUAAAUAACUAAAACAUAGUUUUGGAAAUCAGACAUGUUUAUUUAUGUACAUUAAAAACUAUAAAAAAUUCCUGUGUAGGUAUUUAAUUCACUUCCUUGAAUUGAGCCUAGAAGAAAGUGUUGAAUUUAGUUUAGUGGAGAGGACCAAAAAGGACCUUCUGUGUGACAAUGGCAUGGGCUAAAGUAGAGGUAGAGUUUCACAUGUUGUGUGGGGUCAGUGAAAUAACUAGCUCAGACGGUGUUUCUGUACCCAAAGAUAAAAGUAAGAGCAGUUAUUGGACAACCUCGAGUGCCCAAAGAAAGCAUUUGGAUUUGUCACACUGGCAGCAGAGGCCUUCUGAACUACUAAUCUAUUGCAUUGUAACAAAUUAUCCCCAAAUGUAUUGGCUUAAAACAUCAAUCAACAUUUAUUAUCUCUAACAAUUUUUGUAUGUCAGAGAUUUGGGAUCAGAUUAACAGUGUUCAGGCUUGGGGUCUCUUGUGGUGAAGUCAAGAUGUUAGGGCUGGGCAUGGAGGCUCAUGUCUCUAGUCCCAGCACUUUGGGAGGCUGAGGCAGGAGGACUGCUUGAGCCUAGGAGUUUGAGACCAGCUUGGGCAACAUAGUGAGACCCCAUCUCUAUUAAAAAAAUAAUAAUAAUUUUAAAAUAGAUGUUAGCCAGUCUUCAGUCAUCUUAAGGCUUUACUGGGGCUGGAGGAUCCUCUUCCAAGAUGGUGUACUCAAAUGGCUGCCAAGUUGGUGUUGGUUGUUGGUGGGAGGCCUCAGUUCCUCCCCUAUGUGGGACUUUUCACAGGGUUAAGUGUCCUUAUGACAUGGCAGCUACACUGCCCAGAUCAAGCGAUGCAAGGAAACAAGACAGAAGCUUCAAUGCCCUUUUUGACCACGCCUUGGAAAUCAUCCCCUAUCACUGUCACCAUGUUCUGUUCCUUAGACACAAGCCAGUAAAUUCCGCCCACAUUCAAGGGAAGGGGAGCUGGGUUUCACCUUUUAAAAAGAGGUGUGUCAGAGAAUCUGGGAACAGAUUUUACAACCACCACACUGUCCUAAAGAGGAGUGAUGGUGUAAUUUUGAAAAGGAAAAAAGUCUGGGAUCCAGACAAAGAUUAAUCUGGUAGUAAUGUCAAAGAUGAAUGGAAGAAAGGGAGAAACAGAGGUGGAUCGCAGUGCUGCGAUCUAGCAGUCAAGUGAUGGAUUUAGUUGGGGGCAGUGAGAGGGCAGAGGUAGGACACAUGGAAGGGAGGCAGCAGAAUCCCUUCCAUGAUAGUUGAGUGAUGGUUGAGUUUUCAAUGACUGAGUAUGUAGAGAAAAUCAGAGCAGUGACUUUGGGGAAAGCCAUGGUUUGGGAUAUGAUUAGGAAGGGGAGCUGGAUCUGUUGCAUUAGAGAGAAAGAAGAGCCAGUUGGGUUCCUGCAGGAGCGAAAAAAACAGAGUGAUCAAGAGCUUCAGAUGUUGCAGAAUUCGCAGAGAAUGAUGUUUGAAAUGAAUGCAUUUGCUUGCAGGGUUAUUAUAGGUGACAGCAGUUUAAGUGGAGUAGAGCAAUUUUGGAAAUUGGAUUAUAACAUUUAAUUCGAUGAUUAACUUUUUACAAAGUGCUUGAAGUGGGAGGAUGAGGGGCUGGUAUACCAUUCACCACUCAGAUUUUGAGAUCUUACAUCUUUCUGCCUCCUGAUAGUACCCCCAAGCCUCCCUGGAAUGGCACUUCCACUCAGCUCUUGGAUUGAGGGCAAUGGAGGAGGAUUUUACCUCACUCAUUUUCAGGGAUUCUUUUAACUGCAUGUGAAAUCAACUUACUUUAUUCUUUUUUUACUUUACAUAUUGCUUUUAACUAUCAUGUGUGCUCUCCUCCAGCCCCAUUCAUUUCCCUCCCCUUCCCUUCUUCCUGGUCGGUAAGCAUUUAAGAUCAUGAUCCAGUACAAAGACCUAUUCUUCUCCCUUACCUCCCAACUUCAAGCAUGAUUAUAUUAUUCAUAUACUUUGUUAACUGAACUUGCAGGGAUGCAAUUGAUAUAUAAGAAAUAUAAUUAAAAUUGCAAGCAGCAAAUGUAAAUACUAAAUUGAAAGAUUCUUGGUUUUUUAAUUUUAAUUUUUUGUAGAGAUGGGGUCUUGUUGUGUUGCCCAGGCUGGUCUUGAAUCCCUGGCCUCAAGUCACCCUCUCACCUCAGCCUCCCAAAGAUCUGGGAUUACAGGCAUGAGCCACCACACCUGGCCUUAUUUAGUAUUAUUUUACGUUCUGUAUCUGUACAUCGAUUUAAUCUGUUUUCAAAUUAGUGAAAUAAUUAUCAAUAACAUGGAGCCAAAACAUGAAAAUAAUUUUAAAAUGUCUUUAUGUGACAUAACAUAGAUUUGUGUCAGGAUUUGAGGUUAAGUGGACCAAAGAAUUGUGUAGUAAAACACUGACAAAUCCAGAAAUUAAAUGUGAGUUUUCUCUGUAACAUGAUGCGACGAUGAUUAUAUUAUUAUUAUUAUUUCUGAUAGGGCUGUUUUCCUUUUAAGAAGAAAUGUUGGGUCCAUUUAAGACUUAAACUAAAUUACAAUAGCAUUAAUAAUUAUGGUUCCAAAUUAAGAGUAGUCUUUAUGCUGUGGAAAAAAGAACUAUUGUUGAUAAGUUCGUUUUAGCACAAAAAGAUAUGAUUGUUCUCAGUAACAUCAUCUUUGAAUAAAUAGGGCAGCCUCUGAUGAUGUAGCCUCGUUUUGCAGUGUGCGUGGGAGGUGAGCAUAGAAGAGAAAAAAGGGCCAGGAGACGGUGAGAAGGAAUAGCAGAAGGGAGGGACACCUGGGUGCCCUCACCGUGGAUGGCACAGAUCGUAAGUGACUGGAGGGGGCAGAGGCUCUGACUAUGUCAGUACUGCCAUUAGGUAUUCAUUACAUAGACAUUAAGCUUUUUCUGUGUAUCUGUGGGUGUGAGAGAGGGAGACAGAAAAGAAAGGGAGUGAUAAUGUAUAUGUCUCUGGAGAUCACUGUGUUGUUUACUUUUACAGUUAAAGAUCUAGGGCCAGGUUGCAGUGGCUUACACCUGUAAUCCCAGCACUUUGGGAGGCUGAGAGCAGGUGGAUUGCUUGAGCCCAGGAGUUCGAGACCAGGCUGGGCAACAUGGCAAAACGCUGUCUCUGCAAAAAAUACAAAAAUUAGCUGGGUGUGGUGACACACAUCUGUGGUCCCAGCUACUCAGGAGGCUGAGGUGGGAGGAUCACUUGGGCCCAGGGGGUCGAGGCUGCAGUGAGCUAUGAUUUUGCCACUGCACUACAGUCUAGGUGACAGAGACUCUCUCUCAAUUAAAAAAAAAAAAAAAAAGAUCUGGAUAUAUUUGGAGAUUCUGUCAUGGUUCUUACUCCUUGUACUUGAGCAGUUGACAAAAAGUUAAUCUGGUUAAUUGAUACAUUUUCCAUUUCCUGUUUCCCACUCGUCCUAUCCCCUCCUCUUUCCCUCUAUGUUCUCUGAGUCUCACUUCAAACUUUGUGGGUCCUAGAAGCUUCCACCGAGAGUCUCUUCCAUUUCCAGGGCCCUACACUUGCUAGGCACAUUGUCCUUCUGUGUGCUCCAUCUCCAGAAUGUCCUGGGAAUCACCCUGUGUGUAGGUUUCUACAACCUGUGUUAUUUGUGUCUGUUUGUGUGUUUGUUUUCGCUUCUCUGAGGGAGGAGCCAAGUCUCAUCCAUGUAGCUCCACAUGUAAUAAAUGUGAGUCGAGUGAACGAAUGAAAGAUUUCCCCAAGCCUUGUAGUAGACGUGCUUGGACCAUGGUGGUCCAUCAAUGUGGCAGUGGAGUUCCUGAGCAUUGAGGAUUGGGAGACGUGUGACUAGAGAGGUAGACCACACAAGCCAUGAAGCAUCUAGGGGUGACUGCAAACUGAGUGAGGCAGGUCUCCUGGUCCUGUGCUGCUCCACAAAGAAGGUUUCAGGGAUGACUUGGAAGCAAGAAAUAGGUAAAUGCAGUGCUGCGUGCUAAGCGUUGCAACCUCCUGCACAAACUGCUCUGGGCGCUUCAAUUAAUUUGGACUAUGAGGGUUGGUCUGGGAAGACUGGCGUUUUGAGUUGAGUCUUCAAGAGCGUGCAGUUGCCCACCAAAUGGAGAAGAACAAGGAGCAUGUUUCAGAAGCAGCAUGUACCACACUGUAGAGGUGAGAAUUGUCAUUUUCUUGAGAAGGUGUAAUGGAGCUUAAGGUUUGGGGCAUUGGGAAGUGGGAAAGCAGCAGGAAAUGAGAUUGGAGAGGGCCAUGUGUGUAAUGCUGAAUGACUGGCCUUCCCCGUUGGCUGUAGGGAACCACUGGAAGUUUUAAAAUCAGAGGAGUGGCGGACAUUCACAUUUUAGAAAAAUACCUGGCAGCAGUGUGGAAGAUGGACUGGAAGGGGAAGACUAAAGAGAACAGACGAGUUAGGAGACUGCUGCAAAGUGAGUGCGGUGAAGGGCCUGGAUUAGGCCUUGACAGUAGCGAUGUGGCGGAGAAGACGAAGUUGCAUGUGAUUUUGGGAGGCGGAAUUUGCGUGACAUACCGGAGCUGCAGAUAACAGUUGUGGGAGGGAUGGAAGAAUAGAGAAGGAAGCUUUUUUUAACCUAUAGCCAUUGAAUGGGAGAGUAGAAAGGAAGCAUUGAGUUUGGUUCUGGACAUUUUAGAAUGGGGCACCCAAAUGGAGAGAACCAGCAGACGGAAACGUAUUCACACGUGUGUGAAUGGGCGAGAUUAUAUAAGGAGAGCUUGCUGAGCAAAACGAGAGAGGGUCAUGCACAGGACUCUGGGAUACUCCAACAUUUAAAGGGCACACUCAGGAAAAGAGCCAUUUAAGAACAGUUUCAAAAGGAGAGAUAGCCACCAAGAGGUCAAGCUGAGAUGAGCAGGAAUACGAAGCCAUUGGAUUUGACCAGCCAGGGCAACAGAGUGAGACGCUGUCUCAAACAAACAAAAGCAACAACAAAACUUUUUCAAAAGAAUUUGUUGUAAGAUUUUUAAAAAUACCAAGCACUUUUCAGCAUGUGUGUGCGUAGCAGGGGUAAAUAUACAUAACAUAAACUUUACCAUUUAAUUAUUCUUGAGUGGUUUUUUUUGGCAUUAAGUACAUUCUCAUUGUUGUACAACCAUUACCACCAUACAUCUCCAGAACCUUUUCACUUCCCACGAUUGAAACUCUGGCUGGGCGUGGUGGCUCACGCCUGUAAUCCCAGCACUUUGGGAGGCUGAGGCGGGCAGAUCACAAGGUCAGGAGUUCAAGACCAGCCUGACCAACAUGGUGAAACCCUGUCUCUACUAAAAAUAUAAAAAUUAGCAGGGCAUGGUGGUGUGCGCCUGUAAUCCCAGCUACUCAAGAGGCUGAGGCAGGAGAAUCGCUUGAACCCGGAAGGUGGAGGUUGCAGUGAGCCGAGAUCACGCCACUGCACUCCUUUCUGGACAACAGAGUGAGACUCUGUCUCCAAAAAAAAACCAAAAAAAAAACCUCUGUACCCAUUAAAUAACUCCCCAUUUCUCUCUCCUCCAUCUGCUGACAACCACCAUCCUACUUUCUGACUACUCUGGGAAUCUCAUACAAGAGGAAUCAUACAAUGUUUGUCCUUUCGUGACAGGUCUGUUUCAGCACAACGUAUUCAAAGUUCAUCCAUGUUGUAACAUGUCAGGAUUUCCUUCAGCAUUUUAAAAAUAUAAUUUGAAUAUAGUUUUUUUUUUUUUUUUCAAGAAACCAACUAUUUACAACCAUUACAAAGUCCUACGAUAUGCCACAUCAGUUUUACACAGGGAAGGGAAUUAGAAGAAGGGAAUUCACAUCGAUCACAGACAUCCUAUUGAGCAUGUGUCAGGCGCCACAUUGGUUCCAAGUGCUUCAUCUAACUCAUUGAAUCUCCAUAACAAUUCUGUGCGGUGACAUUAUUAUUUUUCUCAUGUUGCAGCUGAAUAAACUGAUUUUCUGACAGUUUUAUGUAGCUUGUGCAAGGCCACACAGCUGGCAAAUAACUGAGCUAGGAUUCAAAUCCUGAUCUUCCCAAUACCCAAGGCCAUGCUCUUUUUAGGACCCUUCAGUUCUCCCUGUAGUCCUUUCUCUAAUUAUGUGACUCUAAAGGAGUCAAAUCUCUUUGCUUUGAAUUUAAUGAAGUUGUGCUUUAAGGUUUUCCUGGUGUUCAGCAAAUAUACAAGGCUCCUCAUGACAUUAAACUGCGCUUAUUUUGUAUUUAACCUUUUAAGAACAGAAUCAAGCAUUUGCCAAAAGUAGAGAAUUAAUUGUGUAACUAAUUAAUUCAGUUCACAUAGUUAUUUGUUUAAUGUUGUUUGUCCAACUUAAUAUUUAUCUGGGGUCGUUGACAGAACUACAUUGAUUUGUAGGAUAGAUUUCUGAAGGAAAAUACUUUUUUUAAACUAAACUUAAUAGUUUCUAUUCUAAUCACAAAUAGGAAAGGAAGAAACUUUUUAAAAUGAAAAAUAUAUAACCACUCAUUUUUGAGGAUCUCACAAAAACAAAGUAUUAUGCAAAUAAUCUGAAGCCAAAAGCCACAGGCUGAGAUUUGCCAUGCUGAAGUUUUUUUUUUGUUAUUAUUAUUAUUUUUUAAUCUACAAAUGUUUCUUUGAAUUCUUGAAUGCUCUAUCCUGUGCCAGUAAAAGAUGUUUUUCUUUAAAGAUCUUAGCAGUGACUGACAUUACUGUUUGAGCAGAUGAUCCUGAGAAAGUAACCAAAGCCAUUUACAGAACAGGCGUUUCUGUAACUUGGGCCCUUCACGGAAGUAAGCCAAUGGGCUUGCGUGUUGUUUGAAGACUGGGCUUAUCUCUGCAUCUUUUUUCAGUGUUUUGCUUUGAGAGCAUGACUGACUUUGAGUUUCAUCUGCACUCUGUGACCAAUUGUGAGAGAGACCCAAAGUCUGAAGUUUGUGUUGACUUUAGAAAGGCAUUCUCUGAAGCCUUUUUUUGGAAUGAGUUUAAAGAAGGAAGAGUACCAAAAGCCAGGUCCGGUCUUGUAGUGGAUGUUUUGGAAAGAAAGGAUCAUGGUUCUCUGGGACCAUCAGAGUGGAUCAGAUUACAUUCUAAUGUAAUGAUGAAAACAAAGAACAGUAAAUCAGAGAGACUCUAAAACAUCCUAAAAUCUUCCCUCAGGCAAAUAAUACCAAAUCUUCGAGGGCGGAUAAUUGUUUUCUCUCCAUUUUCUUUUUUCUUGCAGAUUGACAGAAUUAAAAAUUUGACAAGCCCCAUCAGUGGUUCACUUAAGUGUUUUCAUAUACAGGUGAUUAGAAACUAUAAAAUCUCUUCUGCUUUAUUUUAAAGCUAUUGUCUUGCUCAGACUGCGUAAUUUAAAGGCAACUGUGUAAUUAAUGUCUAUGGUGAAAAAUUUCUGAUCCUAAAAGUCAUGGACAAAAGGGGGCGUUUGCCUGCCUAGUGUCAAGGAGCUUAAACUGUAAUCAGAAGUCCAUGCAUUAUUGUUUUAUUCAAAUGUAAAGGGAAGAUGAAUGCUCAAGAUACAGCAAAGGAUCUUCUUAAAAUAUGCAAUUUGUGUGACUCUUGCUGAGUCAGAUGAGUGGGUGAUGCUGGGCAGAGCUGUAGAAGAAAACUGACUUUCAGCAAGGAAUAAGAAUCCAUGCUAAACAGUACAGGAGUGAGGCUGAGAAUAUGCUCAAGGAGAGUGUGGUGGUUGGAAUGUUUGUCCCUUCCAAAACUCACGUUCACAUUUAAUCCCCAGUGUGGCAGUAUUGAGAGGUAGAGUCUUUAAGAGGUGAUUGGGUCAUGAGGGCUUUGCCCUCAUGAAUUGAUUAAUCCACUCAUGGAUUAAUGGAUUAAUGGGUUAGUGGAUUAAUGGGUUGUCAUGGGAGUGGGGCUUGUGGCUUUGUAAGAAGAGAAAGAGAGAGCGACACUCAGCCCCCUCGCCAUGUGAUGCCCUGCCCUGCCUCGGAGUCUGCAGAGACUCACCACCAGCAAGAAGGCUCUCACCAGAUAUCGUCUCUCAACCUUGGACUUCCCAGUAUCCAGAACUGCAUUUUAUUAAUGCUUUUACGAGUUAGAAGAGUUGGGAUAAUUUGCCAUCUGGAGUUUCUCUGCCUUGCUGAUCUGAGCUCAGACAUGCCAAUUUACCAGAGAUGAUUGAUAACACCCUGUAACAGCUGAGAGGAAAAUGGAAGAAACGGAGAUACUUUUAGUGAAACAGAAUAAACCACUGAACAGGAAAAAUGAGGAAGCUGUGAGUAUCAGUGGAAGGAACGAGCCAGGAAGAGGGACUGGAACCAUCUCAGAAGCCAUGCCUCUCAGGCUGGAACUUGCCCUGUCUCCUUGCAGAUGAGGUAGGAGGCUCAGCACGGGCUGGUGGGAGCAGCCCACAGCAGCAGUGAGGGUCAGUGGGCCUGUGAGUUAAGAAGAAGGUGGCACAGAGCGAGGGUCUCUGGAUCCUGACUGUUUGACUUUUCCAUGACUAGGAUAAGUAGCCAGGGCUUGGCUAGUUGGAGAGUUACUCGAACCUCAGGUGACAGUUGUAAGGCAGCACAUGGUGAAAAAGAGUCCUAGCCUGAGAAAGUCCAAAAUCUUGGGUCUGGUUUCAGUUCACUCACCUAUCUGUGUGACACAGCAAAGUCUCUUAACUUCUCUAAUUUUCUGAUUAGUAGUAUAGUUGCAGGAAUUAAAUAAAAAUGGUCCUGAUUACUCAGAGAUUCAUUUACUGAUUACUCUUUUUGUGAUCUGAAUAAAGAGUACAACAUCUCUCAAAAGGUAACAAUUUGAUGUUUCAGGAAAUUAGGGAAGUUAAGAGACUUUGCUGUAUUUAUUAUACAGAUAGUUGACUGACAGCUGAGCCCGGACCCAAGAUUCAUUUAUAAAAUGAAGGAGUUGAGAAGUACAUCCUCUGAGGUUUAUCCUAAAUAAACUAAAGUCUAGGCAAGUGGCUGAGCUAGGUUUGCCAUGAAUCAAUCUGCUGAGUAUAUUUCUUGGUAACUAGUUCAUCUUUCCUUAAUUCAGUCAACAAAUAUGAUAUCAAGUUUAGUAAGAUGAUGACAGAUGUCAUGUAAUACUCCAUCUGGAAGAUUGUGUGCUUCUCAGCUUCCCUAACUUUUCUUAAUCUACCUUAAGCUUCCUUUCUGAAAGGUUUCUGUCUUUCCUAACAGUCUCUUCUUUCCGCCAGCUACCUCUUGUGUUUAAGAAUUAAAGGAAGAUGAGCUAGGAAUCAAGAAAUACGCUAAACUGAUUCCUGUCACUGGCGCCACCCUGCCACUUGCCCAGAGCUGUGGUAUAAAUUUUUUUAAUAGGCUGAAAUAAAAAUAUGAAUAGUAUUUUGGUAUUAAGCAUUAAAUUGAUAAAAGUAAAGGCUAUGAGAUACACCUGCUCUCAACCAUGUUAAUUUUUUUAUUAUUGGUAUUAAUAAAUUAUUACUUAUUAACAUAUUAAUAAGAAUUGCAUUGAGAAACAAAGCAUCCACAGGCCAAAUCUUUUGAAUUUCAAGUGUUUAUAUUAAUGUGUUGUAUUCUAGAAAAGUAGAAUUGUCUUAAGUAGCUUUGUAAUAUAAAGUCAUCUAUCAGCCCAUUACACCUAUUAGAAUGUUUUAACCUUUAUCUCCCACUUUUUUGUUUCUAGACUGAGUGUACUUGGUCUGGUAUUUGUGGCAUAACUUAUGGAACACAUAAGAAUGAUACAGAUACUACUUAAUGAUGACCUAGUACAAGCUUAGAUAGCUAAGGUCAAAGCUUCUAUGGCCCUAACAUUUUCCUCUUGAAGAAUGUAUUUGCUGUAAUAAAAUACAGUGGCUACUUGAAAUCUAUAAACUUAUGUGAGGUCUGGAUAAAUCUGAGCAACUUUCUUCUUUGUGCUCCAGGAACCCACGCACUAUAUAUAUAAAUAAAGCUUAAGUAAACAUCACUGCAA